rnacentral:rRNA from 1 species
GACGAACGCUGGCGGCGUGCCUAACACAUGCAAGUCAACUUGACUGAAGGAGCAAUCUGACAGUAGAGUGGCGCAAGGGUGCGUAACGCGUAAGUAACUUGCCCAAGGUAAGGAAUAACGUCGAGAAAUCGGCGCUAAUACCUCAUAAUGCAGCGGAUCCGCAUGGAUAUGUUGUUAAAGGUUUACCGCCUUGGGAUAGGCUUGCGUCUGAUUAGCUAGUUGGUGUGGUAACGGCACACCAAGGCUACGAUCAGUAACUGGUCUGAGAGGAUGAUCAGUCACACUGGAACUGAGACACGGUCCAGACUCCUACGGGAGGCAGCAGUGAGGAAUAUUGGGCAAUGCUCGAAAGAGUGACCCAGCAACGCCGCGUGGAGGAUGAAGGUAUUCUAUAUCGUAAACUCCUGUGAGAGCAGACGAAAGACAGAUUAUAAUCUGGAUGACUGUAUGCUCAGAGGAAGCCCCGGCUAACUAC